UUAAGGCAUGUGGACUUCAACUCCCAGAAUUCCACAGCCAGCAUUGCUGGCUGUGGAUUUCUGGGAGUUGAAAUCCACAUGCCUUAAAAUUGUCAAGGUUGAGAAACACUCUUCUAGAACAUGGCAUUCCUUUCUCAAACUCCCUGUUCUACAGUUACAAAUCAUUAACUUUCUUACACGCAAAGCAUAUACAUUUAUGAAAAUCAAAGCUGUAAACAUGGCAGUUAUGCUUCUCAUGAAUUCCACUCAUCUCUUAUAAUGCAUUUUACACAUACAAAGGCAGAUGGGGCUAAUAUUACUUUUAAUAGACAGACUGAAAAACAAGCUUUUGCUUGCAAUUUCUUCCUCUUAAUUAGCACAUGUGAUAAGUAAAACAGUAAGUUAACCAGGAAUUAAUUGAAGAAACCAGCUGACUAAAGUUGGGACUGAUUAAAUUAUCUACCGGACUGUCCUUGCAGCAUUGACAAACGAAUUACAGACAAGAAAACAUAUUUGACCAAGACACUAACACAAGAUUUUUCAAAACAGAACUCUUGACCCAUUGCUUGUGGGGAAAGAAUAAGAAAAGGAAGGAAAAGGAGAAAAAGAUUUCUCUCCACAUUGCCUUGCUAGUCAGGCAAGCCAAGGUGAAAAGAUUAUUCCUCAAAGCUUGGUUUUCAUAAAGAGAUUUAGAGGGAAGAAAUGUUUAGCAGUUGCAAAAAGGUCAGAAUAGGCUGCAAAGUGGAGAGGGAUUAAAGAGUCUCCCCCUCCCCUUUUUUUCUCAGCCUUCAGCUUUUACUUGGAGGCUGGUAAAUGCAGGUAAACUGAAGAAACAGACAGAAAUAUAUUGCUUUCUAUGCACUAUUUUCAUAGAUCAUCAAAACAGCAUAAUUAAGCCAUUUUUUAAACUUUUCUUACUUUAAACAUAAAAUCUCAAUAUGCAUACCUAUACAAUGAUAGUAAAAUAGUCUUUCAAUUUAAACUCCAGGAAACAUACAUAAACUCAAUAACUUAACUUUUCAAGAAAAUAGCUCUUUUAAGGCUUUUUUGUUUUUUCUUUUAUUACAAUUGAAAGUUGUUUUGCCAGAUUAAAUUAAACUACUAGUCUCAUCCCAUAUCUUAGUCCACAUUUUUUUAUAUAAAUCCUGUGCAUUUUACUUUUUCAUUCCUGUCUAAACCAGGGAUCCACCCGCCUAAAUCCAGGUGUCCAGCAACCUUCCUAAUGGAGAGGGUGGGGAAACAUGCAAAGCUGAAGUUUCCUAUUUUCUUGUCCCUACCUUACAUGUGUGUCCCAAUCGGUUUGGGAUGUACGUGUAUAUCCAGGAGAUGACCUAAGUGAGGUACGUAGCUCUCCGAUCUUUACCCGCUGUUCAGUUUUCAAGCCUUUCACGUGGGAAGACUGUUAUAUUUGGAGCAGUAUGGGCACUUCUUCCCAUCGUUUUUUUUUUUUUUUUUUUUGAAUAAAACUCCUCACUCAGGAGCUCCUUUUUAUUAAAAAGGUACGGGUCCCUCCAUAUAUAUAUAAAUCACAGUAGGUUGUGUGUGGAAAAAUAUAUAUAUCCACUUUCCUAACUACCCCUCAAAUUCUUGUGAGCUUUACCUGGUGGUGACUAAGAGACUUUGGAUACUAAGGAGGAUUGGCACUCCAAAGGCUGUAAAUCACAGUAGGUUGGUGUGGAAAAAUAGACUUGGAAAAUAUAAACUGUUUUUCUCCAAAAGUAAGCCCUCUCCCAAAAGUAAGCCUCAGCUAGUUUUCGGGGGGUGAGUCUAAUAUAAGCCCUCCUCCAAAAGUAAGCCCUACUUAAGAGCCUGCGCAGAUGGCUGGUCACUGAUUAUACCUGGUUUCACCAUAGACACAAGGUAAGCGGGGGAGACACAAGAUAAGUGGGGGGAGCUUCUAGUGCCUCUGCAACGAGGCAAAGUUGAUGGGGGAGCGGGGAUCUGACCCAUGGUAUACUGGUUCUCUACUGCUGCCUGGCUUCUUGCCGCCUCGCGCAUCACACCCGAUGCCCCAGCCAUCAGGCCGUGGAACAAGCCGGGUGGUGGUAAGGAACCAGUAUACCGGCACAUGGGUCAGAUGGGAGGAAUCUGCCAAGCCUCAUGGCAGUGGCAUUGAACACAAUGUCUGAGGCAGCAGAUGGCUGGCGGCAGUGGAAAUCGGCUACGGAACAAGCUGGGUGGUGGUAACGAAGAUUUUAAGGGACUGCUGUAAUAUUUUGCCCUCCCACCAGACAAGAUGUGUUCAAAAUGAAAGAGCUAUUCUAUCGAGUUCAAGAAAGGUAUCAUGGAGGACUCUCAGGGCAAGAAUCUUAUAGCUUUCUGCAAAGAGAACAAGUUGGAUCUCCGUAUGGUUGAAAAUGGCGAGCAGAGUACAGUAACUUCAGCCAACAGGUGGAUGGGGGAAAUGCCAAGAAGCGAAAGUGUGGAGCAGCCAUUAUUUCCUCAUCAAUCUACAUUCCUUCCCCUCGUUAUGAAAGGGCAUGUGUUACCUGCAUGUUGGCAAAUCGUUCUGGAUGAAACAAAAGCCCCACCUCUAAUCCUUUCUAAGGCAAGAGAGAUAAAAUUGAACAUGUUUCAGGGAUUUAUGUUCUUGAAACUGAAAAAGCCUGGUGCACACAAGCUGUGAUAAGGAAGUGGGUUGAUUUAAUGCUGCCACUUAUUUUGUGAGGCGGGCAAAGAGGUCUGCUGGUUUGGGAUUCAGCCAGCACUCACCGUGCAAAAGAUAUGAAGUUUCUUGCAGAGAGAGGAAUUGACCAAAUAAUGAUUCCUGCAAGAAGGGCUGCCUAUCUCCAGAUUCUGGAUAUUGCCAUAAACAAGCCAUUCAAGAACUUGCACAGGGAAAUCAGUGACUACAUUGAACACAGAAUGGAGAGAAAUCAGCAUGGGAACUUUGUGAAGCCUAGCCUGCCAGAGGUCGUGACUUGGGCGAAGCAUUCGUGGGAUAAAAUCACUGGCAGCUGUGUUGCCAAUGCACUACAAGCAGGCUACAUGGACGAGAAGUGUUCAUUUAGGGAGACCGCGAUUGCUGGACAUGAGAGAUUGGAGCCAAUGGUUCUAAAGGAACUGGAGUCGCAAGAGGUGAAGGCUGGAAUUUGGGGUUUGGGAGAGUGUGAAGAUGUUUCAGAAAAUGACAUGACUGUUUUUGAAUAAACUGAAUAAAUAAAUGGUUGCUGUACAUCACCACUGUGGUUGUGGGUGCCCUGGGUGGAGUGUGGGUUAGGGUUGGGGUUAGGCAUUGAGGGUUAGAGAUGGGAAGGCCUGGAAAAAACCCGGAAAACUGCUUUGGAAACAAAUGGGAAAAACCGUUUCUUCCCCACUCAACUUUUCCUGUUUUUUUCCCCAGGGCUUCCUCAAUUUCUUUUUAUAGGUCUUGAAACAAGAAACAAGACCUUCCCUUCCAAGGAAGAAAAAUGGCUGACCAUGGCAGUAGGAUUUGUCCUUCCAUUUCUGGGAGAGAAAUAGACAUGUUUCAAUUGAUGGCUGUCUACUUCGGGAAGUCAAAAUUGAGAAUGUCAUCUCUUUAUCCUCAGGUUUGGUUGUACAAGUUCUAGUUCUUUUAUUAUUUUUUUUGCCAGGGCCUGUCUAUUUUGACAGUGAUGAUAAAAGGGACUAUGAGGAGCUAAAAAAGAAAUAUGAAAAAUACCAGAAAGCAAUCAACAGAGUGAAUACAGUAAGUAUCUUAUGUGAUAGUAAGAAAUGACUAGUUUAAAUUUCAGCAUUGGUGGGUUAAUAUGUGAUGUCUUUUGGGAAUAUUGUUUAACAGCACAAGUGUUUUUCCAUAAAAAUACAGAACAGAAGCAGAUAGAAGAGGUGACAUCCUCACAGGAGGAGCUGGCAGAAAAAGAUCCACCAUAAGAGCUGUAAGUCAUUCAUUUCCCUUACAAUCCUGAUUUAAGCCCCUCUUUUUGUCUGCGUAUCUAUAUUUGAUGACUGAUGCAUGCUUCCUUUAAUUUCUGCAUCUUAGUUGGAAGAGGAGAACGAGCGCUUAGCCAGCGAACUGGUCCAGCUUCUGAAGCAGAAUGAGGAACUGAAGCACUUAAUAAAUCUUGAUCCAGAAAGUGAGUAUUAUUUUAACUUAACAACAUUGUAAUUGUUUUCAUUUUAAAAACAAAAAUGAUGUAUUCAUCUUGGCUGUAUGAGUUCUAGUUCUUUUGGGUAUUUUUUUUGCCAGGAAAUGCUGACAGAGAGAAGAGGGAGGUUGAGGAAUUAAAGGAGAAAUACGACAAGUACCAGAAGGCAAUCAGCAGAGUCAACACUGUAAGAAUCUUACAUGAUAGUCAUAAGUUAGAACAACCUCUGUAAGCAAGAUUUUAUAAUGUAUUAAUUGUACUUGCUCAAUUUCUUUUAACAGGAGGUCUCAAGAGAGAGGGAGAGGAGAAGAGACCUCAUGAGAGCUCGGGACCGGGCAAUCGAUGCCAUCUGCUCCCAGCUGCUGUCUAUACCUUACUCGGAGAGAAAAUUGUUGCCUCUGCAAGAAGCAAAUAGGAGGAGACAGAUGAUUACGUCAAGAAGUAUCUAGGUGUGAAGUGCAAGAAGGUCACUUGGUAUCGUGGUCAAGAAAGUGACAAUUCCCAACCACGGAUCGUAGUGGAGACAGAGUAAAUGUUUUGAUUUGUUUUUGUUUCAUUCUGAAUAUGGUCAAUAUUUCUGUGAUUCUGAAUGCUAAGGUCAGAUUUAUAUUAUUUAAGCUUAAAUUGAUAAAACAAUAAUGCAGAAAAUAAUAACUGUAUCAUUGCUUUUUUAAAAGAAAGUCAUCAGAACUUGCAGUAAUCUUGGCACCAUGAUUUUUAUAUGCCAUGUGUUUAAUACUGUUGCUGUUAAAACAAAUGAAGUAUGAGUCCUAAUAUUUCUUUGCCAUUUAAAAAUAGUGAUUGAGAAUAGUGAUUGAGGAGAAGCUUUGUUCAAGAUCUAUGGCAAAAUGGAAGACAUUGUUGGUCAGUGAUGAGAGACUGGGAGAGGCUAAUAUCAAGGUAGGAAUAUUUCAAGAUUUGUUAUCACCGCACUGAUUCCUCUAUCAAAAAUACUGAAUAACUCAGGCCAUGUCUCUCAAACAUCAGAAAAAUCUUCCAACUAUUCUACCUCCUUUACAUGGGCAAUCUGAAGCUGUGUGGAAAAACACCAGCUGAAAUAGAAUCGCAAGUUAACAUUGUCCGUAUAUACAGCCGAGAUAUUGCAGUAGAGUUUGGACUGGACAAAUGUGCCACCCUCACCAUCAAACAAAGAAAAAUAGUGAAAACUGAAGGAAUCAAGAUGCCCUGUGGAAACGACAUCAAGAGUCUGGAUGAAGAUGAUCACUAUAAAUAUGUGAGCAUCCUUCAAGGUGAUAACAUCAAGCAUUCUGAAUUCAAGGAAAAGGUUGGAAGUAAAUACAUCAAAAGAGUGAAGAAGAUCCCAAAGUCCAAACUCAGUGGAGGAAAUACUAUCGAAGCGAUCAGCCUCUGGGCAAUUCCCAUCAUUAGAUACAAAGCUGGAACAGUGGACUGGACUCAAGCAGGCCCUGAAUGGGAAGACCAGAAAAAUAUGACAACAAAUCAUGCCCUUCAUCCAGGCAGCAAUGAUGACAGACUCUACUUACGAAGGAAAAUGGGUGGAUGUGGAAUGUUGCAAGCACACCAAAGGUUAAAGAAAACAAAAAAGGCACUUAAGAAUAUCUGAAGGACAAUGAAGAACUAAGAUAAUAUAAUAUGAAGGCUUACUGAUGCAUACAAAAUCAGUAAGCUAACCAUAAUAAAAAAAGUAUUUUGACUUUAAAAAUAUUUUUGGUUCAAUUCAAAGCAGCAAACAUACCUAAUACUUCUAUUUUCCCCACAGCAACACCCCUGUCAGGUGGGUUGGGCUGAGAAAGUGACUCUGUCCUGAUCCUGUCCAAAGUCACCCUGCUAUAAAUUGCAUGUUAACAAAAAGGGGAUAAAGCUUUUGCACCCGACAUCUGACUUUUUUUUUGUCACCUUAGACUGCAAAAUUCCAUUUGACUGGACUGUUCCUUUAGAGAUCAAAGCCUUCUUCUUUGAUACCUCUCCUAGAAAAAGUAUACCUCCGUCCCCUUUUCUGUGAACACAAUGUUCCUAUUUGUAAAGGAUUAAACUGGCAUAAACCUAUUGUCAUGUGAGACAGGACUAAAGUUAUGUCAGUUUUGAACAGGUGCUUCCCAAUCCCUCGUUUAGUGACUGACUCAUUUAGCAAUUCAUUC